UUUUGCAUGGCACUGUUUUGGGCAGGCUUGGAUACUUGGUUGGCUGCAUGGCGCUCGUGCAGGUGGCGUUUAGGCGCGUUUUUUGUUUCGCUUUUUUAGUUUGGGUUCACUGCCGCGCGUGAUGCUGAAAUUUUUUUGCAUGGCGCUCGUUACCGCUAUUCGCGCGCCUAUCCCGUGGUAAUUUUUUCGCGUGGGCGUGCUGAGAAUGCCGACGCUUAGGUUACUGCUUGCCCAUAUUUAUACGCUAACUUGCUUUCACGUUUGGAGUACUGAGCCAUCUCAUCUUCUAGUUCUAGGCUUCUAGCUAGCUUCCUCUCACUAUUGCAGUACACAUGGCCGAAGAUGGCGAUGGCGAGUUUGCCUUUGAUCUGAACGAGCCUCCGUUGGAGCACGGCAAUGUCGAUUUCGAUUAUGUACAACACCUUGCUGAACAUGUCAUGGCUCUCGUUGAAGUAAACCAUCGAAGGAAGGAAAGACAUGACCGAAGAAGUGAGAAAACAAGUUUAUCAAGCUUUGUUGGCUAGAAGCAAGAAUGGGAAACUAGGCAAGAAAGAUACAAGAGUUGUUGCAGAUCAGUUUGUCAACCAUCUUUCCUAGAUGAAGCCAAGGCUACUCUUGCUGCAUUGAACAUUUAGAAUGAAGCUAGUUAGGUUCCGCACUCAAUUAAUAGAGACAUCCUUGUAAUGCGAUUAUUAAGUUGUGUUAUCUUACCAUUUCUUUGGCAUCA